CAAACAGCUCAGCAAAGGGAACACAUUGUCCGUUCCAAGGCUUUCCGUGAACAAAUACAUUUGAUAUUUGAGACAGCACCCUGUAUGAAAUAGGCCCUGAUUUUCAAUAUACCCUUGAAUUCUUUUAUCUUGUUGUCAAUAGGUUUAAUAAUUGAUUGUGGGGAAAACACAAUAGGGUAAGAAAAAUACCAGGGUUAUCUCAAGAGUUCUGGAGGAAUGAUUUGUGUCAAAUUAGGUAGCUGGAAUAAACCCCUGUGGCCAAUCUUCUAUGAAUGAAAUUGUCCAUCUUUCCUAGGAAUGAGUCAAUCUGUGUAUUUGUGAAUUUCAAAUAUAAGUGUGACUACUAUGGUAGAAGGAAAUAGCUGUCAGAAUAAAGAGAAAAGGAGAUGGAUUUUCCACCUUGUCAUGAUUAACACACUUUCUCAGUCGUUCUUGGCCAGCAUUUGCAAAUAGUGACUGUUGUGGCUAAUUGGAGUAUUCCUUGCAGUUUUCUCAUGUCAGCUUAUACGAGCCAACAUAAAGAAAUACCUUUGUGGACUAGAUGCAGUCAUCUCACUCUUGGAUAGCUUUGUUAUGGUACCUACUGCAUUAUACCGAAAUUUAG
rnacentral:lncRNA from 1 species